rnacentral:ncRNA from 1 species
CUUAUCCAGAGCGGCUGAGGGACAGGCCCGAUGAAGCCCGGCAACCGGUCGGCGAAAACCGGCGUGGUGCCAAUUCCUGCGGACGACCGAAAAGGCCGCCCGAAAGAUGAGG